rnacentral:lncRNA from 1 species
CAAAGGCGUGGUGGGUUCAGCAAGCAAUCAACUCCAUGAAUUCGAUCCUCUUCUCUAAAUUAUUCCAUCGAUCUCUCUCCCUGUCAAUAAUUGAAUAUCUUUGUCAAGUUCAAGGCAGAUACAAAGGCGUGGUGGGUUCAGCAAGCAAUCAAUGAUUUACUCAUAGAAUCCACCAUAUUUUUUUCAUGUUAAUUUGAAAUCGAAUGGUGACCUUAGCAAGUAGCUGACCUGUAUCUGCAGGUCAUCGGUCAUCGGUCAUCGGUCGAUUGCUGAGAUGUUACCUGGUCACUGCUGGCCAUGGUGAUUUUAUUGUUUUAUAGUGCUCGCAAGCCCACACAUGCAUUGUCAUUUAUGUUGUUUCCAUCAAUUUUUCUCAUCAUGAUCAUGUAAAUGGUGGGGAAAGACAUGGAUGAUUUUCCUAUCACUAAAAUAUAAAAUCUUUGUUGAUAUACAUUUUGAUCCUU